CAAUGAUGGAGAAAAGACCCGCCCCCCUUUUUUUAACCUCCAGCAAAGCUCUCUGGCUAAUCCCUAGAAUUCUACCAGGAAGGAAGGUUCCUGUCGCUGCUGAUGGAGCACAGCAGGGGACAGCCAGGGGACAACCACCCAGCAGAGCCACCCAGGCGCACUUGAAACAGGGCACCGAGCCCGUCCGCAGGGGUGCUGCCGGUGAGCGUCCUGCAUUCAUCGUGAGGCCAGGCUGUGAAGACAAAUUGACCAUCGUGACCUCUGUCUUCUGCCAGGAAGGCGGCACCAGCCUCCGAGCUCCGGGUCUUAUAUCUGACCUCAACACAGAGGCCCAUGCUCCACAGGGUCUCUCCACUUCUGCAACAUAGCUAACAUUUAAGCAGAGAGAAAUCCCCACCUGGAAGAUGUCUUCCCUAUUCGAGAAGGAAGAGACCCAGUGAAGACAAGGACACGGUGCGGACGCUGUUCUGGGCAAAAGGAACCGUAAGGUGAGCGCACAGAGGACAGAAAGAGCUCAAGCGUGCACUAAGAGCCCAGCUGGGUUUGCCACAAGCUGGCUUACGACAAAGGGAGCCGUGUCACCUUCCAGAAAGCCUGGGAAGCUUAGCGAGCUACAGGCGGACAGACAUCAGGCAGGAGCUGAAAUGAAGUCCCCAGGGCUGAUUUCUCUUCUCCUUCCAGUAGGUUCUCUAUUACCAGCAUGCUCGCCUUCAGGGUCGCCAAGAAAUAAGCCUAGCGGGUCUCCAACUCCCAGAGUUCCAGGCCGAUGGAAGCCGCUGGCAACCCUCCCUCCCUUCCUUCCCUCAAGGGCCACUCCCAGAAGACAGGCAGCAGACCACCUCCGGCUGAACCCAUUACUGUGUUCGCCGUCUUGGGUCUGGAUCAUAAGCUGGAUCUCCAAAGCCGUGGAUGGAGCCCCGUCCAGGCCAGAGAGAGCCAGCCCGUGGGAGGGGUGGGUUCCCCGUGUCAUAAUGGGGGGCGGUUGCUGGGGAAAGAAGUCUAGACGCUUCCAGAAAUGAGAGGAGGUCGUUGUAAGUGAAGCGACAUGAGCAAAUGGUCCAGUGAGCCUGGAGAGGUCCGUCGGAGACCCGGGAGGACCACGAUUACGGCCAAGGAGUGAAUAUUCUCUGCUGGAGAUUUAACCAAUCGGGAGCCUUAGGUCGGUAUUUAUAAAGCUCUCCUCUACCAGAGGCGCCAUCUACAUAACGAAAAGGAACACAGGACUCACUCGCCCAUCUUUGGUAACAGCUGGGGUUUUGCAAACGCAUGAGGUGGCCGUCACGUGCAGUGGCACGGCCAGAUCCAAGUCUCCUGGCUCCGCGUCUAAAACGCGCUGUGGAUCAGGGCUGUGAUUUUCAGUGAAAUCUGGACACUCUGACGGGCGUUGUGUUUGGGCGGCUCUCUUGAAGGGAUUCCGCUACGUGCAGAACUAUGACACCUUUGUUUCGGUCCCUUCAGAACCAUGCUGUUGCUUGAGGAGCCCUUUGCAUUCCCUUGGGUGCCCUCUUUUGAACACUGGAGUCCAAAUUCUUCGUGUUUGCGAAUAAGCAGCAUUCUUGGGUGCUGCCCUGAUGGCACAGGCCAGGCCUCGCCUGCUCCGCCCCAGGUGGAGGGCUCGCUGGGCUCACCGUCCAGUCACGCUGGUGCCUCUAAGCCCGUGUGUCUGCAGUUCUUUCAAAAAUAAACUCUGCCUACAGACGGAAUCUGACAGCCUUGCCAUGAGGGCUUUGGGAAGUAGACGUGAUUUGUGAAAUCCCACCUGAGAACCUUGAACAUCAAAGGAGGGAUGGCUGGCCAAGUGUGUGGGGUUUUUGUGAACCAGCUCCGGGUUCAGAGGCAGAGCGACCUGGAGUGACUUUUCCAACACCCCUGAGCCCGGGCGCUGAAAGCAUCUACCCCAUGAGGUUGUGUGAUGAAUAAACGAGGCAAGGCACAUGCGACGUCAGCAGAAUGUCAAGCGACUCAUAGUGGUGAAAAAGCGAUUGCGCCGAUGUAGUUGUACUUUGUUGUCUACUUCUGGCUACUGGCAAAGGCCGUAGCGGUCCCCGCUCACGUUCAGGAUCAUCUGAAUACAUUUCGCGGUGGAAACAAACAGUUAAUACUUGCCCACGUCCAACAGAUUUCCUACCACAUUGGAACUGGGGGAGGGGGGACCCACUAAGGUCCGAAAUUCAAACAGCUUUUUCCCUAGUGUACAAUUUGGUUUCUAUCUAUAUUAGAAAGGGUUUUCUUAGCCACUAUUUGGGGAAACUUCAGGGGAAAACAUAAUGCGGCACGAACAACUACAAAGGGCAGCUGACGCCCUUGGCAUUGAACGGCCGCCUCUGUGGCAGGCUGCCAAGGAACGGCGGCUGCCUUUGUGGAAACUGGCGGGGUGUCUCCGAGUAGCACACACGUUCCUACUGCUUGUCUGUGUCCCGGAAGCGAGGAGACGGUGUCAUCUGCUGUGGAUGCCCAUCCGCGGCCCCGCGGCCAUCCCAGACACAAGGACGGCUCACGGCCGAGGCCCUCCCGGUGCACCUUCGCCGCACCUGAGCACGGGGGUCCUUGACAGGCUCUUGGACCCUUUGCAUCGGAGUUAUAGGGUCCAUUACCUUGCGAUUUUAAUUAGCGCAAAAAAGAACCGAUUUUGUUAACAAGAAAGAAAUCAAUUUCACCGCAACACUGGUCGGGCGUAUUUGAAAAACCAGCACAACGAGGUAACUGGGAAGACGCAUUACCUACCCGGCACCAGGCGCAUGAGGGGCUUAAUAAAUGCUAUCUGAUGCUGGUAUUGUGUGAUGAGAGGAAAAGUUGAUAAGGCAGAGGAACAAUAUGAGGCAGUGUCGUCGUCUGAUUUUCUGAUGGAUAUCUGUUGCCUUUCUGCUGUCCUAGAAAUGUAGCAUUGAGCUGAGGCACUUAGGGUACCAGUGAUCGUAACAGAUCUCCGAGACUGAGCCCGAUACGUGGCGUUCAGUUCUGGAGAGAUCGCAAAUCUGGAUCCCAUUGCUGAACUCACGCAUACAAUCCCAUGGAACUCCUCGGAACUCCGACAAAGGACGCCAGAGACAGCCGCCGAAGAGAGAUCUGAGCCCGACUCCAGAGGCACUUGUUCUAGGUACCACACACGGAGCAGCUGGAGCAGCCCUUUAAUCGGGAUGUACCCUGUGUGAUCAUUUGUCUUUGGGCUGGACAUCAGCAACGCGUAAAGCACUAUCAUGCCUCCUGUGGAUUUUGUGGCCAAAGCCACGCAUAUAUUUAUGAAGUACUUUUCCUACUAAGGUCGGCGUGUGUGAGAGUGUGUGUGCGUGUGUGUGGUUUUUGUUCACUGAAACCCGCCCCGUGUGUGCGAGAGUCACCAACAACGUGCACAGUCUCUCUACUUUGUGCGUCCAGAAAUGAGCCUCCACAGUGGGGCUGUCACACAGAAGACCAUCAGGGAGGCGGUGCUUUGUCAGUAGAGGUCACCUGGUGCGUGCGUGACCUACAGGUGAUGCUACGGGUGUGUGUACACGGCCGGCUGAUGUGCUGGUUGGUGGCAUAAGAAAGGAUGAUCAGAUAUUUCAAACUAACUCUAACACACUCUGACCACAAUUAAUACGUAUGCUGGCCUUUGUUUACGAUGAGUCACAGAAACGAUCAGGGCAAGUCCUCGUCACCUCACCACUCCAGAAAUGCCAACGGACUUCAUAAGAUUUUGGCCUUGAACACUGGCUUACCGACUGAACUGCUGUCUUUUCUCAAUGCUGAGAAACACGCCACAUCCUCUCUGAGGGUUGUCUGCACACGGACGGUGGGGUAGACACAGUAAGCCAACUCGGAAGCCAGUGGCGUGCCUACGGCCUCCACCCGUCGCCACACGACUCGCUCCCGGCGCCUGACGAGCCCUAUCAUUACACAAGGGGGCUUCGUGCACGCUCACCUUGUGCAAGAUACCGGGGAUGACGCUGUAUGAGGACAGACAUGAAGGGGAGUCUCAGAGACGUCACCCACACAGCCAGGAAGAUGCUCUGCAAGGACCCCAAAGGGGCGGACUCCGGGCGUGAUCAAUGAGCUCAUCUGUAUUCUUCCAAAAUGUAUCUUCGUUCCUAGUGUGCACGUGAAAAGCACACUGAAUUAAACUAAAGUUGCAAACCCAGAGUUCAAUGCCAAGAGGCUACGAGUAGCAGAUGUUGGCUGAGCUUCUGAGAAAGAAGCUCCCUCUAAAGACGGGCAAGUGCGAACAUUUCCACACUUCCUGUCCAGGCGAGGCUCGCAGCCGCAGGGAAGGAUCCGAUCAAGGCUGCCCUCCGCCCCACAGGGUCCUCUCAGCUCUGUGGGCCCCGGGCCUGACUGUCAGCAGUCCCGCCGACGCACGGCUCUGAGUUCAAGGACACCUUACUCCUCUUUGGUCACAUUUUACAAAAACAGAAGCACAUUCUAAAUACUCGGUUCUUUGGCAAAGUGUGUAAAGGCCAGAAGAACACAAAGGAUGAAGACAGGGGAGAUGAGCGGAUCGACCUGAGAGGGGCUGACACCUGUGUCCUGUCAGGGGCCACAGUGGCCCCACGUGGGACAAAGGGCCUGGGCUAAGAGCUCUUGCCUUUUAUUGCAAUCCCCAGAGGACGGGCUGAACCAUGUCAUUAGCGUAAGAUACUCACACUUUUACUAUUUCGUUUGGGAAAUGACCCAGGGGGAGUCUGGCUCCACAGUGUCUCCAUCAAAUUUCUCCACAAACUUGUCUUCAUAGGUAACAACGUCAGGCACCCAGGGGCUCAGUCAGUUAAACGUCUGACUCCUGCUCAGGUCAUGAUCUCACAGUCGGCAAGUUCCAGC